UACAUACAAGAGAACUUCACCAUAUGCUUACCAACAUCUUCCAUCCUUAUCCCAAGAUUGAUUUCCAGAAUUCUAUCUCCUCUCUGGCCCAAUUUCCAUAGCCAUCAUAAUCAGUAUGCCUUGCAAAGCACAGCCAUAGUAUCUUGUAGAGGCAGCACCUGUCUAAUCCAUGGUUGUGUCCCACAAUAAGUGCCUGCCACAAUCCGAAGGAAUACUAAUAGGACCCAUUAGUCAAUUUCAAUGUUCAUAACGAAGGCUAACUGUUUGCUUGCUUUGAAUUUUAACUUUCAAAAAUUCUUACCACACAUGGCACCAUCCG
rnacentral:misc_RNA from 1 species